rnacentral:lncRNA from 1 species
UAGCAUAAUGGAGGCAAAUGAGGCAAAUGCCUCACUUUUUAAACGACGACCAAACUUUAGAAGUGUCAUUUUUUUUUUUUUUUUUUUUUUUUCGAGUUUCAAACUAUCUACUGGCACACUACAUACAGUGUGUCCAAUCUGCAGCAGCGAUUGUAGCUUUUACUAUACGCCUUUUCUAUGGAAGUCUUUAAUGCAUAAGGCAAUUCAUGAUUUUUAUUUAUCUUUAAUAAAAGUAUGAAAUAUAUUUUUUGUUUCAUUGGAAAAUAUUUUUUUGUGUUUCUUUUUCUGAUUAAUAUGAUCAGCAUUGUCUGGUUGUAUGCUAGUGUGUUCCAUUGAUUCUAGUGCGGUAGGUCGUGGGUUUGAACCCCGGUAGGUCAAACCAAUGACCUAAAUAUUGGUAGAAUAAUGUGUCCAGGUAGGUUGACAUGUCAUCCAGCUGAAUGUUUACAGAUAACUUGUGAUCACUUGUUACAUUAGAACGUCAAAAAUCCGGUUAAGUAACAAUGUUGGUCUAGUCUUCUCUGUACCUAUUCUUAUGGUUAAUGAUUAUGUACAAUAAAUGUAUCCUAAUUGAUGCUCAUAACAUGUUCUCGUCUUUUAGAAGCUUAUAACUUGCUGUUGGACA